rnacentral:rRNA from 1 species
GAUGAACGCUGGCGGCGUGCCUAACACAUGCAAGUCGAACGGACUAAAUGAAGCCUAGCGAUUUUAGUUAGUGGCGGACGGGUGAGUAACGCGUGGGUAACCUGCCUCACACUGGGGGAUAACAGUUAGAAAUAGGUGCUAAUACCGCAUAAGCGCACAGUUCUGCAUGGAACAGUGUGAAAAACUCCGGUGGUAUAAGAUGGACCCGCGUCUGAUUAGCUGGUUGGUGAGGUAACGGCUCACCAAGGCGACGAUCAGUAGCCGGUCUGAGAGGAUGAACGGCCACAUUGGAACUGAGAUACGGUCCAGACUCCUACGGGAGGCAGCAGUGGGGAAUAUUGGGCAAUGGGCGAAAGCCUGACCCAGCGACGCCGCGUGAGGGAAGAAGGUCUUCGGAUUGUAAACCUUUGUUGACAGGGAAGAAGAAAGUGACGGUACCUGUAAAGAAAGCCACGGCUAACUACGUG